GAUGAACGCUGGCGGCGUGCCUAAUACAUGCAAGUCGAGCGAGCGGCGGACGGGUGAGUAAUGUCUGGGAAACUGCCUGAUGGAGGGGGAUAACUACUGGAAACGGUAGCUAAUACCGCAUACCAUCAGAUGUGCCCAGAUGGGAGUCGCUAGUAGGUGGGGUAAUGGGUCACCUAGGCGACGAUCCCUAGCUGGUCUGAGGGGAUGACCAGCCACACUGGAACUGAGACACGGUCCAGACUCCUACGGGAGGCAGCAGUGGGGAAUAUUGCACAAGGGGCGCAAGCCUGAUGCAGCCAUGCCGCGUGUGUGAAUAAGGCCUUCGGGUUGUAAAGCACUUUCAGCGAGGAGGCGUUACUCGCAGAAGAAGCACCGGCUAACUCCGUGCCAGCCGCCGCGGUAAUAC
rnacentral:rRNA from 1 species